GAUCUGGUAUUCGUAUAUAUCGUUCCUUGACUGCGAAUCAAGAGAUUGCAGGUUCGAUCCCUGCGUAGGUCA
rnacentral:tRNA from 1 species